rnacentral:rRNA from 1 species
GAUGAACGCUAGCUACAGGCUUAACACAUGCAAGUCGAGGGGAAACGACAUCGAAAGCUUGCUUUUGAUGGGCGUCGACCGGCGCACGGGUGAGUAACGCGUAUCCAACCUGCCCAUCACUUGGGAAUAACCUUGCGAAAGUAAGACUAAUACCCAAUGACAUCCCACGAAGACAUCUGAAUGGGAUUAAAGAUUUAUCGGUGAUGGAUGGGGAUGCGUCUGAUUAGCUUGUUGGCGGGGUAACGGCCCACCAAGGCAACGAUCAGUAGGGGUUCUGAGAGGAAGGUCCCCCACAUUGGAACUGAGACACGGUCCAAACGCCUACGGGAGGCAGCAGUGAGGAAUAUUGGUCAAUGGGCGAGAGCCUGAACCAGCCAAGUAGCGUGCAGGAUGACGGCCCUAUGGGUUGUAAACUGCUUUUAGAAGGGAAUAAAGUGGGUCUCGUGAGACUUUUUGCAUGUACCUUAUGAAUAAGGACCGGCUAAUUCCGUG